rnacentral:sRNA from 1 species
GCGGAGGAAAAGAAACCAACAGGGAUUGCCUCAGUAACGGCGAGUGAAGCGGCAACAGCUCAAAUUUGAAAUCUGGUCCCCUCUGGGGGCCCGAGUUGUAAUUUGAAGAGGAUGCUUUUGGCGAGGCGCCUUCCGAGUGCCCUGGAACGGGACGCCACAGAGGGUGAGAGCCCCGUAUGGUAGGACGCCGAGCCUCUGUAAAGCUCCUUCGACGAGUCGAGUAGUUUGGGAAUGCUGCUCAAAAUGGGAGGUAAACCCCUUCUAAAGCUAAAUAUUGGCCAGAGACCGAUAGCGCACAAGUAGAGUGAUCGAAAGAUGAAAAGCACUUUGAAAAGAGAGUUAAACAGCACGUGAAAUUGUUGAAAGGGAAGCGCUUGCGACCAGACUUGCGCCCGUCGGAUCAACCGUCCCUCGUGGGCGGCGCACUCCGGCGGGCUCAGGCCAGCAUCAGUUUUCCUGGGGGUAGAAAGGCGGUGGGAAUGUAGCUCUUCGGAGUGUUAUAGCCCGCCGCGUAAUGCCCUCGGGGGGACUGAGGACCGCGCGUAUGCAAGGAUGCUGGCGUAAUGGUCGUCAGCGACCCGUCUUGAAACACGGACCAAGGAGUCGUCCUAAUAUGCGAGUGUACGGGUGUAAAACCCCUGCGCGUAAUGAAAGUGAACGGAGGUGAGAGCUUCGGCGCAUCAUCGACCGAUCCUGAUGUUCUCGGAUGGAUUUGAGUAAGAGCAUAUUGGGCCGGACCCGAAAGAAGGUGAACUAUGCCUGUAUAGGGUGAAGCCAGAGGAAACUCUGGUGGAGGCUCGCAGCGGUUCUGACGUGCAAAUCGAUCGUCAAAUAUGGGCAUGGGGGCGAAAGACUAAUCGAACCUUCUAGUAGCUGGUUUCCGCGA